GCCAGUGUUGCUCAGUGGCUAGAGCAUCAGCCUGAAGACUGAAGGGUUCCAGGUUCGAUUCCAGUCAAGGGCA
rnacentral:tRNA from 1 species